rnacentral:rRNA from 1 species
UACGUAGGUGGCAAGCGUUGUCCGGAAUUAUUGGGCGUAAAGCGCGCGCAGGCGGUCCCUUAAGUCUGAUGUGAAAGCCCACGGCUCAACCGUGGAGGGUCAUUGGAAACUGGGGGACUUGAGUACAGAAGAGGAAAGCGGAAUUCCACGUGUAGCGGUGAAAUGCGUAGAGAUGUGGAGGAACACCGGUGGCGAAGGCGGGUCUCUGGGCCGGAACUGACGCUGAGGAGCGAAAGCGUGGGGAGCGAACAGG